rnacentral:rRNA from 1 species
AUGGAGGGGGGGCCUUGGACUUUUCGAGGCAACCCUGUUCUGCUAGCCCCCUACGAUGGCUUCUCAAAGCCAUCGUCCAUUGAUCUUCACAACUUUAGAAUCUGGAUACAAAUACAUGACCUUCCUGAUGGUUAUGAGCCUUUAGUUAAAUCCCUUGCAGGCAAGGUUGGGGAAUUUUAUUCCCUUGAUAAUAGAGGCCGGGACAUAGCAAGAAAUUAUUACCGGGUUAGGAUCACACUGGAUGUCAGGAAAAAGCUCAAGAACCAUGUUUCGGUUGUAAAACGGCAGAAAAGGCAGAUCUUCAAGGUGAAAUAUGAGUGGUUACCGGAUUGGUGUGCAGUCUGUGGGAUGAUUGGACACUUAUACACAGAACAUGGUGACGGUGUUCACCAUCCAUCAACAAUGAUUUUCAGAGAACUCCGUGCUACAUGGGGUUCAGGUGGCUCAGGUGGUCGUGGGCUUGACACACGAGCACCCGCUACAGAUGGUGUGACUAUAAUCGAGGUUCAGGAAAAUAAAAGCAUGGAAAUAGACCCGAGUAAGGGAGCAGCGGUGGAGGAUGAUGCUGCAGAUUCAGAGUCUAAUAGAAAACGUGCUUUGGCUGCUCACUCAGCUCCUGAUACACCUCCUCUUGCCACAAUUUCAAAGGGUCAGUUGUUACUAACUAAUUCUGGUCAGGUUGUGUCACCUAGUCCAUCCGACGAGCAGGAUCCGAAGCGAACGAGAACUGAGCAGAGCACACUCAAUACAAAAUACUUGACAACAACGGCGGGUUCCAAUCAGGAACGCCGCCAGGACAAAUGA